CCAAUAGGAUGGAAGCAGGCACGGCGGAGGGGGAGGGAGCUCGGAGUAGCGACCGCCAUUUCGCGAGAGGAGCUCGAGCGUCGGCGGUUCUCAGAGAACAGAGACUUUAUAGGGAGAGAAAUUGAGCACAAAAAGAGAAAGCCGUCGACUUUUGUUACAUUUUUAAAAAACAAAACAAUUAAUAAAGCCCCUGGUGGCUGAAACGGAGGUGGUUUGUUGUUGACUGUUAAAAACCGCGAAAGCUACGCUGUGUUUUACACGUCUGCUGCAGUUUUUUGCGAUUUCUUUUUAAAGAAAGUCUCCUCCUUUAAGCAAACAAAAAAAAAACAGAUUUUUCCUAUAACCACUGGCGUUGUAACCUUUUUACUUUCAUUUUUAUUUUUUCCCCCAAAGCCGGCGUCGUGUUGGUCAGCGGUUCGUGGCUGGAUUGGUGUUAAAUAUCUUUUUCUUUUUGCUUUAUUUUUCCCGUCAUUUUUAAUUUAAGAAAGUUUCAGGGUGAAUAUGGGUUGGAAAUUUUUAAUUUUUCUCAUUUUUGGUGCGUUUGUGCGGAGUGUGGGCUUUGCUUUAAGACUGUGGUGAUGCAUUUUUAAAGAGGUGUUUUUUUUUCGGCAAGAAGCAUUAUGGUGGCGAUUUUCAAAGAAGGACUUUAAAAUAAACUUUAUUUUUUGGCGGCAGCGAGGACAGGACUGAAAAAAAGAUCCGAUCAUGUAAUGUUUUUUUUUCUCUUAAAAAAGAAACGUCUGGAAUCUAUAUUUAAAUACACGGAGCAAUAAUAAAGUUAUGUCGUG